UUGAUCUUCAUGUCCCAGUGGAUAUUCAGUUCUCAUGGAUUGGGGGAUUAAAAAUAUAAGUCUAUAUCCUGUCAAUAGGAAAACGGAUACCUUAGAUAAGCCACAGGGGACUGUCUGUUUAAACAACUUAAGCGUCUGUUUCCAGAAUGCUGAAGAGAAAUGGAUAGGAAGGUUAAAUAUAAAAUAUUAUUUGUAGAUAUUACAUUGUUGGGCUUCAAUGUCUCUAGUCUAGUCUCACCUACCCAGAGCAUACAUUAUGAAAUGAAGUCACUGAAAAUGACACUCUGUGAUCUACUGAGAUCCCUGAAGUGCAGAUUAACUUAACAAAUAACAGGGAUCAGGAUACUAAUAACAUAUCAUCAUGAGGAAAUGAGGGGAAUUUGGCAUAAGCCAAAGUAAAAGGUUCCUCUCCUGGCUGAACUGUUAACAGCUCAAAGUAGGCUGCAGGAUGGUGGGAGGAAACUCAGAGGAGUGCUGCUGGUCUCCGAUUCCACACCUGGGGGCUGUCCUACCAGUCUCCCACUUCGGGGUGCUGAGAUGUCAGGAAGGAAGACAGCAGGUGAGGAAAGCCGAAGACGUCUUCUGUGGAAGAACCCGCAUUUCCUCCUGCCAUACAUACGUGUCUCUGACAAACAUCCUGGAAGACCAAUGACACCUGAAAACACCUGUUUCAGAAUCUAUCACAGGAAUUGGCCCCCUCUUGCUUUAUGAACAUACUUGCAACUGUGACGGCAGAUGUCCCUGACUGCACACUCCAAGGAACAAAUGGCCAUUGUCAUCUCUGUACAGUCUGCAUGGUAUCUACAGAGGUCCUGGCCUACCAGUGAGGAGAAUCAUGAAGUUUAAAAACAGAUUUAAAACAACAGGAUCUAUAGCAGGACCCAGAAAACAGCAGAUCUGAAUAAAUGUUCUCUGAAUCUUUUAUUUGGGGGCUGCUUUUUUUCUCCCUUCUAAUUCUUAGAUGUGUGGCUUACUUGAGGUUAACAGAAAAGUAAGCACUAUGUACCACUUGAUUUAAGAAAUGUGAAUAGAUGAGAAAUUUUAGAAAAUUAUAGAGAAAUCGAUGCUUACUUUCUU